rnacentral:rRNA from 1 species
AACGAACGCUGGCGGCAUGCCUAACACAUGCAAGUCGAACGAGACCUUCGGGUCUAGUGGCGCACGGGUGCGUCACGCGGGGGAACCUGCCCUUAGGUUCGGAAUACCUCCCCGACAGGGGUGCUAAUACCGGAUAAUGUCUUCGGACCAAAGAUUUAUCGCCUUUGGAUGGGCCCGCGUUGGAUUAGCUAGUUGGUAGGGUAAAAGCCUACCACGGCGACGAUCCAUAGCUGGUCUGAGAGGAUGAGCAGCCACACUGGGACUGAGACACGGCCCAGACUCCUACGGGAAGCAGCAGUGGGGAAUAUUGGAAAAUGGGCGAAAGCCUGAUCCAGCAAUGCCGCGUGAGUGAUGAAGGCCUUAGGGUUGUAAAGCCCUUUUACCCGGGAUGAUAAUGACAGUACCGGGAGAAUAAGCUCCGGCUAACUCCGUG